CAGUAGCCGCGGUAAUACAGAGGGUGCAAGCGUUAAUCGGAUUUACUGGGCGUAAAGCGUGCGUAGGCGGCUUCUUAAGUCGGAUGUGAAAUCCCUGAGCUUAACUUAGGAAUUGCAUUCGAUACUGGGAAGCUAGAGUAUGGGAGAGGAUGGUAGAAUUCCAGGUGUAGCGGUGAAAUGCGUAGAGAUCUGGAGGAAUACCGAUGGCGAAGGCAGCCAUCUGGCCUAAUACUGACGCUGAGGUACGAAAGCAUGGGGAGCAAACAGGAUUAGAUACCCCCGUAGUCCCUGUCUCUUAUAC
rnacentral:rRNA from 1 species